GAUGAACGCUGGCGGCGUGCCUAAUACAUGCAAGUCGAGCGAACAGACGAGGAUUUUGCUCCUCUGACGUUAGCGGCGGACGGGUGAGUAACACGUGGAUAACCUACCUAUAAGACUGGGAUAACUUCUGGACACCGGAGCUAAUACCGGAUAAUAUAUUGAACCGCAUGGUUCAAUAGUGAAAGACGGUUUUGCUUUCACUUAUAGGUGGUUCCGCGCCGCAUGAGCUACUUGGUGAGGGAACGGGUUACUAAGGCAACGACGAGUAGCAGACCUGAGAGGGGGAUCGGCGACGCUGGAACUGAGACACGGUCCAGACUCCGACGGGAGGCAGCAGUAGGGAAUCGUACGAAAUGGGCGAAAGCCUGACGGAGCAACGCCGCGUGAGUGAUGAAGGUCUUCGGAUCGUAAAACUCUGUUAUUAGGGAAGAACAGAUGUGUAAGUAGCUAUGCACGUCUUGACGGUACCUGAUGAGAAAGCCACGGCUAACUACGUG
rnacentral:rRNA from 1 species